rnacentral:rRNA from 1 species
AUGGAUGCUGACCAUGGUGAACUGCGAAUCACUACUGGAGACGGAACUACCGUUGUCACAGCCUGCUUUAUCAUGGGUGUUGACAAAAGGGCCACCAUCACUAGAGGCUGGAGUGACUUCUUCCAUCAGGCGCACAUGGAUAAAGGUCAAGUAUAUGCUUUUGACUUCAAAUGCACUUCCAAGGGACUGCGCCUGAUCGUCUACUCGAUAUAA